AAUCGAUUUCAAUUAGCAAGGAGGAGGCAAGGUGGAAACAUACAAAGAGAAAACGUGCCAUUGCUUAAACACAACACAAUCGUGACAGAAAAAGAAAGUGGCAAGAUGAAACAGCUCCUGCUUUUGAUGAUGGCUGUCGUCUGCCUGACCCACGUGACCUGUAACGAACCUCCCUGUUACUACGUCUGCUGUAACGCUUCCUGCUCAGUCAAGUGUAGACAGUGCUUCCAACGUUUGAAUGGGAAAAGACAAAGUCCACAUAAGCGCGGUUUCAUUCAACAACGCCGCAUGGAAUAUUGCUGUAACCAGAUCUAGGAACUGACACUCCAAAUCAUACUAUUUUCUCGAAAGUGAAACAGUGUUUGGACCUAAGCACAAAUCAUCACCGCUUACAAGACGUAGAUCUUGAAAAUAAUAGAUAAAUUCGGUGUAUUGU
rnacentral:sRNA from 1 species